CCCCUCCUCUCCCUCUCCGAUUCCCCCGCUCCGCCUCCCAAAAAUUUCCCCUAAAACCCUAGCUCCCAUGCCCUCCGACGGCAAGCCCGAUUCCCCUCCGCCGCACGGCCCGCGGAUCCCCCCAGCCGCCGCCAACGACGAGGAGAAUGAGGACGUCGGGCCCAAGGAGGAGGACGAGCCGAACUCGGGCUGGAAGCAGGGGUGGCGGAAGAGGAAGGGGGAGGCGGAGGCGGGCAAGCCCGCGCCCGCGGCUCCCGCCGUCGAGAGGCCCUCCAGGGAGAGGAAGACGGUCGAGCGCUACUCCGAGCUCGACUAGAACAUCGCCGUCAUCAUGCAGACCGUCUAAUUGUUUGCCCCCGCCGGCGGCGGCGCCGCCGAUGGCGCCUUGCUGGAGUCACUGUCUAGGGUUCUGCUGCAAUACUACCCUCUCGCCGGCUCCGACUUCUUUCGCUCCGACGGCGCCGGCGCCUCCGGGAUAUCCAAGUUAGACCGGUCAGCUAUACACAAUAUGUGCUGUCGUUGGGCUUCCUGACCAUACUGUCUGGCUAGAGGGAAUGAAACCAAAGGGAGCAAGCAUGCAAAUUGCCAUGGUGUAGGGAGCAAGCGAAUAUCAAAAGCAGAAUCUGAAAUAUGAGAAUCACCUUGGCUAUUUUUAUACUCCAUUUGUGUUCAAUUGAGCCAUGCAUACUAUUACCAUGGCAUAGGGAGCAAGCAAAAUCAUGGGCAAGGUACCUGCCUUUGGAGAAUGGAUGGCUUGGCCGAUAGUGAUUGCAGUGUUGUCCACCUGGAGGAGUUACCGUGGCCGAUGCUAUGACCUGCAGUGUCGAUCAAUGCCACAUCGCUGAAGGGCGACCACUGCAUCGGUGGAGGUCACGCGUACCAUAAGCGAUGACAGUGAUGGGUGGAGGUUGUGCAUAUUGGUGGCGAUGGCAACAACUCAAUCUGCCAUCAAAAUCACAAUAUUUUCAACUAAAAUGUGCAGCUUAUAUGACAGUCAUAUUCAUGUAAGAGAAAGAAAGCCUGCAAUGUGAGCGAGGAGAGAAAUGCACAUAUACAGAUUGAACUGAUAUGGAUACUAAAGACCCGCACAUAGAUAAAAUGUUACAUCUGAAUCUGUGCUUGAUCUCUUCACUUCCAUCUGUAGAAGGAAAAAGACAUGUCGAUGUCAAGCCUCGACCUACAAGUUCUGCUUGAGGAAGCAUUAGUGCAGAUAAGAGUCAAAGUUUUUCACUCCCACCUGCGACGGCCACCAUGUGUCGAGGAGCGUCAGAGCAGGGCGGGCGGUGGCCUCCACGCAUCGGGGCGGCGUCGCGCGUCGAGGCGGCGGUCAGGAGCGGGGCGCCGCCGUGCGUCAUGGUAGGGCAGGGAGCGGCGGAGCAAGGCGAGCGGCAGCCUCCGUGCGUUGGGGCGGCAGUCGGGAGCGAGGGCGCCGUCCUGCGUCAAGAGCCGGGGGGAGGGGGGACUGGAGAGCAACUUCGCUGGGCGGCUUUCAUGGAAGAGAGCGUGGUCACCCUUGUGUGUAGGAUUACAAGAGAGUUGUUUCACAUCAUUUUGAGCCAUUGGAUAUGUGCAUUUAACGGUGCAUAAUGGGUGGAGCAAAUCCCUGUAUACAUUUGUUGAUGUGACCAUAAAAAAAUUACAA